rnacentral:rRNA from 1 species
GGGCUUGGCGGCAGCUACACAUGCAGUCGAACGGUAGCACAGAGAACUUGGUCUCGGGUGAGGAGUGGGGGAGAGGUGAGUAAUGUCUGGGAAACUGCCCGUUUGAGGGGGAGAACUACUGGGAACGGUAGCUCAUACCCCACAAAGUCCCAAGAGCAAAGAGGGGGACCUUCGGGCCUCUUGCCAUCGGAUGUGCCCAGAUGGGAUUAGCUAGUUGGUGAGGUAAUGGCUCACCUAGGCGACGAUCCCUAGCUGGUCUGAGAGGAUGACCAGCCACACUGGAACUGAGACACGGUCCAGACUCCUACGGGAGGCAGCAGUGGGGAAUAUUGCACAAUGGGCGCAAGCCUGAUGCAGCCAUGCCCCGUGUGUGAAGAAGGCCUUCGGGUUGUAAAGUACUUUCAGCGGGGAGGAAGGCGAUACGGUUAAUAACCCUGUUGAUUGACGUUACCCGCAGAAGAAGCACCGGCUAACUCCGUGCCAGCAGCCGCGGUAAUACGGAGGGGGCAAGCGUUAAUCUCAAUUACUGGGCGUAAAGCGCACGCAGGCGGUCUGUCAAGUCUGAUGUGAAAUCCCCGGGCUCUCCUGGGAACUGCAUUCGAAACUGGCAGGCUAGAGUCUUGUGGAGGGGGGUAGAAUUCUUCGUGUAGCGGUGAAAUGCGUAGAGAUCUGGAGGAAUACCGGUGGCGAAGGCGGCCCCCUGGACGAACACUGACGCUCUGUGCGAAAACGUGGGGAGCAAACAAGAUUAUAUACCCUGGUGGUCCACGCCGUAAACGAUGUCGACUUGUAGGUUGUGCCCUUGAGGCGUGGCUUCCGGAGCUAACGCGUUAAAUCGAUCGCCUGGGGAGUACGGCCGCAAGGUUUAAACUCACAUGAAUUAAUUGGGGCCCGCACACACGGUGGAGCAUGUGUGUUUAUUCGAUGCAACGCGAAGAACAUACUUACUCGUGACAUACA